CAGGUUACAAGAGAUAUUUCAGGGAGGGACUAAUGAUGACGUCACUGAGACCUGCCAUGGCCUAAUACCUAAACAGUUUUCCUUACACUGAUCAGAUUUGGAGUGCCCUUUCCAGAUGGGAGGGUAGCGUUAUUGUCCUCUGCAACGCUCCACCAAGCAGCCGACUGACACAGAAGCAGAGGCACAGGGCUUGAUAUCAGAUGGAGCUCAGUGAGUCUCACUGAAAAGCUGAGGGAAGGACUGAGAGAGGCAGAGUUGCACAAUGGUCUUCACGUGGGGUCACUAACCCGUCGCCUGUCUGUGGAUCCUGUUCUCCUACCCGGGCUGCGUUUUCAAGAGCUGGUUGAUGGAUCUUUCUCUUUUCCUAAGAAAAGGCCACUCUGGUUCUCAACUCACUCUUGAAGCCGUGACAGGAGACAUUCACAUCUCAUUCCUUAAGGACUAUACAAAAGGUUUGCUCAAAGUCAUCUGCAGAUACAUCUUUUUUAGGAAUGAAUCCUUCGCACUGGAGACCAGAGAAGAGACCUGCAGUUGCAUUAUUAAUAAACAUCAAAGCAAAAUAUAAAAGUCUGAAUGGAAUAAAUAUUUUAGGACAGUGUUUUGCAAGCAAAUUCUUUCAUAGACAGUCUUUGAAGAGCUCUGAAAUUUUGCAUUUCAUAUUUGACUUUUCUGGGACUCUGACUAGAAUCAACUCACAACUGUUUGGGAUUUUCUUGGCAAUUAACCAGUUUGUGAACAGAGCUGAAUUUAUCAUAUGCUCUUCCAUCUACAUUAAUAUUGCUACAGUGAGGAACAACUAUGGUAAAACUCUUCAUCUGAUUUUUCAAACAGCAUCCUCAUACCACUGCGGACUUUUGUGCUUGUGGAGGGAAAGGUUGAGAACACCAUUUGAAAGUUGGAAAUGCUGAAGUGGGAAAGGCCUGUGUGUGGAUCAUACACAACUUCAGAAUAUCCAUUGUUUUAAUAUUCACUAGGAAGUGGACUUCUGCAAAAUGACUUCAGCAGAAAAGCAUGGUAGAAAAACGGUAAUUGAUUCACUGGAGAUAUAGAUGCACUGGAUUGUUGAACAUGGGCUUAGAGGUAGAGACAUGUGAGCACAUAAAGUAUGGAGAAUCAAUCCUGUGUGAUGUUAAGUUUUCCUACCCCAUGGUUCCAUGCAAACAGCACUGAGGAAUAGAAUAAAAGUCAAUUUUUUUAAAAAUCCAAGUCACAAAAAGUACUGUCCUCCUCCAUGAUGCACAUAAACUCUCAGGUGCACUGGCCUUCACAUGCCUGGAUGACAGCUGUCAGCAUGGGAUUUACUGCCAUCCUUUUCAUAACAGCAGAGCUCCAAUCUGCUUCAGCCACGUCAUCAGCGCCCCAU